rnacentral:tRNA from 1 species
GUUUAAAUAGCUUAUAAAGAGCAUAACACUGAAGAUGUUAGGGAGAUUUUAGGAUCUUUAAACA